GACGAACCGUGCGAACGUUGUUCGGAAUCACUGGGCUUAAAGGGCGCGUAGGCGGCUCAUCAAGUCGGGGGUGAAAUACUUCAGCUUAACUGGAGAAGUGCCUUCGAUACUGGUGGGCUUGAGGGAGGUAGGGGUCUUUGGAACUUCUGGUGGAGCGGUGAAAUGCGUUGAUAUCAGAAGGAACGCCGGUGCGAAGACGAAAGGACUGGACCUCUUCUGACGCUGAGGCGCGAAAGCGUGGGGAGCAAACAGGG
rnacentral:rRNA from 1 species